GGACGAACGCUGGCGGCGGGCCUAAUACAUGCAAGUCGAACGCACUCGACCUUCGGGUCACAUGAGUGAGUGGCGAACGGGUGAGUAACACGUGAGAAACCUGCCCCGAAGACUGGAAUAACCCGAGGAAACUCGGGCUAAUACCGGAUGCCCCCAACUGAUCGCAUGAUCAGUUGAGGAAAUGCUCCGGUGCUUUGGGAGGGUCUCGCGGCCUAUCAGCUAGUUGGUGGGGUAAUGGCCUACCAAGGCAUCGACGGGUAGCUGGUCUGAGAGGACGAUCAGCCACACUGGGACUGAGAUACGGCCCAGACUCCUACGGGAGGCAGCAGUAGGGAAUAUUGCGCAAUGGGCGAAAGCCUGACGCAGCAACGCCGCGUGAGCGAUGAAGGCCUUCGGGUCGUAAAGCUCUGUCAGGUGAGAAGAAUACCAGCCGGUGGAUAAUAUCGGUUGGCUGACGGUACCACCAGAGGAAGCUCCGGCUAACUCCGUGCCAGCAGCCGCGGUAAUACGGAGGGAGCAAGCGUUGUUCGGAAUUACUGGGCGUAAAGGGCGCGCAGGCGGUUUGGUAAGUCAGAUGUGAAAUUCACCGGCUCAACCGGUCGAACUGCAUCCGAUACUGCCAGACUUGAGAUCAGUAGAGGAGAGUGGAAUUCCCAGUGUAGCGGUGGAAUGCGUAGAUAUUGGGAAGAACACCGGUGGCGAAGGCGACUCUCUGGACUGAUUCUGACGCUGAGGCGCGAAAGCUAGGGGAGCAAACAGGAUUAGAUACCCUGGUAGUCCUAGCCGUAAACGAUGAAUACUAGGUGUUGGGUGUUUCCAUGCAUUCAGUGCCGAAGCUAACGCAUUAAGUAUUCCGCCUGGGGAGUACGGCCGCAAGGCUGAAACUCAAAGGAAUUGACGGGGGCCCGCACAAGCGGUGGAGCAUGUGGUUUAAUUCGAAGCAACGCGAAGAACCUUACCCGGAUUUGACAUAUAUGUGCAAUACCUAGAGAUAGGCGCCUCCUUCGGGACGCAUAUACAGGUGCUGCAUGGCUGUCGUCAGCUCGUGUCGUGAGAUGUUGGGUUAAGUCCCGCAACGAGCGCAACCCUUGUCCUUUGUUGCUAACAGGUAAUGCUGAGGACUCUAAGGAGACCGCCGGCGAUAAGCUGGAGGAAGGUGGGGACGACGUCAAGUCAUCAUGGCCCUUACAUCCGGGGCUACACACGUGCUACAAUGGUGCAUACAGAGGGUUGCCAAACCGUGAGGCUGAGCUAAUCCCAAAAAGCUUGUCCAAGUUCGGAUUGGAGUCUGCAACUCGACUCCAUGAAGUUGGAAUCGCUAGUAAUCGCGUAUCAGCUACGCCGCGGUGAAUACGUUCCCGGGCCUUGUACACACCGCCCGUCAAGG
rnacentral:rRNA from 1 species